GUCCCUAUAGUUUAACGGAUAGAAUACAAGCUUCCGGAGCUUGUGGUGGAGGUUCGAUUCCUCCUGGGGACA
rnacentral:tRNA from 2 species